AAGGGCACCACAAGACCGCGUGGAGCAUGUGGCUUAAUUUGACUCAACGCGGGAAAUCUUACCGGGUCCGGACACACUGAGGAUUGACAGGCAAUCAUGUGAAUUUUUUUUAUUUUUUUAUAAAAUAUAGUUCACAUAUAAAUAUGCUAGUCCUUUCAUGAUUAUGUGAUAGGUGGUGCAUGGCCGUUCUUAGUUCGUGGAGUGAUCUGUCUGCUUAAUUGCGUUUCAUACUGGACUUGAAUUAAAAAAGUGUUCUAUUUUUCAUUGUAUUGUUACUCAUGUGUUUUCGUGAGCGCAAAAGUUAUUUUGUGUAAGCGGGCACGUGUGGUUCUUUACUUUUAAUUGAUUAAUAUGUGCACGUCUAGUCCUGAAAGCAACGAACGUGACCGCAUCCUCUUGUUGCCUUUUAACUUAAUAAAAAGAUUUUUUUCUUUUUUUUAUAAUAUAAGAGGCUUUCUUAAAACUAGAGGGACCGCUGCGACUUUUUUAAACCAGAGGAAGGUUGCGGCAAUAACAGGUCUGUGAUGCCCUUAGAUGUUCCGGGCUGCACACGUGCUACAAUGAUUAUUGCAGUUAGCAUCUCAUUUUAUAGCACUGUAUCUCAUUUUAAGUUUUAUUAUAUAAUUUUUUUAUAUUUUGAAAUUAUGAGAGCAGUCAAAGCCUGCUUCGAAAGUUCGCAGGUAAUCACUUGGAAGUAGUGAUUUCCCUUAACUCAAACAUAAAUAAUAUUUUUGUUUGUUUUUUUUCUGAGCACACAAUAUGCUGCUCCUCUCCCUGGCAUUUAGCUAUUUUUGUCUUUUUGCCGCUGUGUGUGAGGAUGUUUUCAGCAUGUGCUUUUUGUCAAUUCAUGGUGGGGACAGACCAUUGUUAAUUGUUGGCCUCGGUCUCAACUAGGAAUGCCUUGUACGGGUCUUUGGUUCAACAAACCACCCGGAAUACGUCCCUGCCCUUUGUACACACCGCCCGUCGCUCUUACCGAUGGACUUCUCUGUGAGUUUGAGGGACUGAGUACCUUAGUAACUUUUGUUGCUAUAAUCACUUAUGGAAACUUAAACGAACAGUGUGGUCUAAAGGAAAGAGAAGUCGAACAAGGCAUCGGUAGGUGAACCUGCAGAAGGAUCA
rnacentral:rRNA from 1 species